rnacentral:lncRNA from 1 species
GUAGGACAAAACCAGGUCAACCCUUGUCCAUCCCCUACCCCUGAGUUCUAAACCCCAGAUUGGUCUAUCUCCCAUAAUAUAGUAGAGUUUAGGAAACUUAACCCCCCACACUUUGAAGGUUGCCUUGAUCCUUUAGUAGCUAAAGCUUGGAUCUUAUAAAUAGAAAAGUUGUUCUCUGUACUAGACCUGACUAAAAAAUAAAAAGUUCCUCUUGUAGCCUUUAUGUUAAACGGUGAUGCCAAACACUGAUGGCGACUUAAAAAAGAAGUCCUGC